GGCACUAUUUAAACAUGUUGAUGAACUGGACUGGAUUUCUCCCCACCUCCAUUCCAGCAAAACAAGGAGACUCAGAAGAUAAAAUUUGUUUUGUUAUUGCAAGUAGUGCUCCGCGGUGAAAUGCAGUUUGGGAAGACAGAUAAUACACGCUCAAUUGCUACUCAUCAUUUUACUGAUGGAUAAUCUAGAGGAGGCAAAUCUCAGCAAUUGCUUCAGGCAGCGCAGUUAGAGGUGGCCAACUCUGAACAGUCUUCCAGUGUGCACAGUUUGCUGAGCAAACAUGAGUGCAACUGGAAAAGCACAUGUGUGUUCAUGGGAGAUGUUCUGUGCAGUGAGUGAGCUGCUGCUGGGGAGAACCUGGGGUGUGGAGGUGGUGGUGGGAGCUGCUGACAUCCAGUACUCUGGAGCUGGCCAUCUCGGCACAGCCUCACAUGAGUUCUGACUCUCCGAGAGGAAGAUACUCUGGGAUGUACUGUAUUUCCUAGGAGCCUCCACAUGAUUUCGAAUUCUAGGUGAUGGGUGAAGGGUUCUCGUGUCUUUUCUAGGAGGUGAACCAUGGAGGGCUUGCUGAUAAAGUCUCAGACUGAUUCUCUCUCCUCUGGUUUUAUUUUUGGUUCAUUUUGAUAUGUUGGUCUGAAUUAUUCUGUAUUAUCUCACAUUCCUUUAAAUAAAUUAGUUUCUCCUGUCUCAGUUGCAUUUUUUCCCUCUUCCUUCCACCCCCCUCCCUUUCUACAAAGGGAAGGGGGAUGUGUCAUGUGAUUAACUCUUCAAACCAUGACUGCCUCCCUUCCAGCUGCAGGGCUCAGCACAAUUUCAAUUUGCUGAGCUGUAAUGCCACUGCCCCGGCAGCUGUCAGAAGCAUCAGCUUUCCAGAUAUCAGGCAGAGAGAUGACUGGCAGCAGAAAGCUGAGCAUCUUCAUCGGCCUUCUGUCCUUGUGCCCUGCCAGAAACUGCUUAGUGCUCUGGAAAAUAGGAAGAGGUUAAAGCGUUAGGAGAAUGGGGCAGGUUUUGGUCAGCAUGCUGGUUAAAAAAAAAAAAAAAAAAAAGCAUGUUUUUGGGGGUUUAUUGUGCAGCUGUUAAAGUCUCUACCAGAAUUAUCAGUAUAUCCUGGAGCUAGAAAGUGGAAAACCAUAAGACAAAAGACAAAGUUAUAGAUGCUACAAAUCAAGGAAAGGCAAUUACAGUGAGCUCCCAGAAAAUAACAGUCUAAAGAAAGCAAGGUAGUUCUAACUUUGUGUAUCAGUGUGGGAAGUAAAUCAGAGGAUAUCAGGCAACAUUACCUAAAAAAAAAAUAUUGUCAGGUUCUGGUGGCUGAUAUUUGAUAGUGGCAAAGAAAACCCAACCACCUAGCACCUAGCCUCCUAAAUAUUAUAUUGCAGUUGAAAAUAAAUUGCAAAUGCUUUGGUUAGAAUUAAGUACUGAAGACAUGAACAGGACAUGUCUACUGUUUUGUACUGCCUCAUUACUAAUCAUGCCAUCUGCAAUGCCUAACUAUAUAUAAGUUUUUGUUUGUUUUAGAUUAGACUUGGGAAAUAGGCAAACAUUCAGAAAGAAAUCCUGAAAUAAAAGAUGUACCAUUUCUGUUUCAGUUUAAGAUUUAUUGUAUCGUCAAAAUAUUGUCACUUGCAGGAACUGGAGAAGACAAUUAAUGAGAAUGAACUCCAUGAUUUUCUAGCAUUAUCAGAGCAAGGGCCUUCAUAUACAUAAGUCAAUUUAAAAUGCCUCCUAUUUAUUUCCGUGCAAACUACAACAAUGAGCACAAUAACACUAUCUGAUAACACAAAUUCUCAGCUACAAAAUAAUAUUUUUCAACACAGUCACCUCCCUUAGCUAUGCGUUUUCACCAGUGAUAAACAAGAGCCUGCAUGCCAUGCUCAUAAAAAUCUGCAUCAGCAGAGGUGACCCACUGUUUCACAGCAGCUAUGAUAAUGUUGUUGCUAGGAAAAUGUUGCUGAUGCAGUCCAUCUGUAUUGGCCUGAACAGAUGGAAGUCAGAAGGCACCAAAUCUUGAUUAUAUGGUCAGUGUUGUAGGACCGACAGUCCAGCCAAGAUUGAAAAUGUGCUGUAAGGUCUUCAGAAUGGUAUGGGGCCUGGUGUUAUCUUAUUACAAGAGAAAGGUUGUCUUCUUCUCUGGCCUGACUAUGGAAUUUCAUGCCUCCAGCUUUGCAAAGUAGCAGUCAGAAUUGAUGGUUUGUCUGGGUUCCAGGAAAUCCAGAAAGAUCACCCCUUUCCUAUCCCAAAUGACAGUGAACAUCAUUUUACUUGUUGAGGGCUGCAUCUUCAACUUUUUGUUUUAUGGGAAAUUCACAUGUCACACGCCAUGGACUGCUGUUCUGACUCCAGCUUGUAAUGGUGACACCACAUCUCAUCAGCAAUAAUGACGCGAUCCAGGAAACUGUCACCUUCAGUCUUGUAUUGGUUCAAUAGGUCAUGACCAACUUGUAUACAGUGUUCUUUCGGAUCCUGUGUGAGCAUUUGUGGGACACACUUGGUUCAGACUUUGCAGUGAAGCUGUAUUCUUCUCCAUGCACAGUUCCCUGGUCAUAAUCAUAUGUUUUGCACAGGUGAGCUGAUUGAGCCACUCCAUCCACCUCCUAACUGUGCUCACAUUCACUGUUUCUUCUCCAUAAAUGUUCAGCAGUGAAGAAUGCCAGUGGGUGCAUUUUUUUCUGCAUGGAGGAAUUCAGUGAAA